UACGGGGGGGGCAAGCGUUGUUCGGAAUUAUUGGGCGUAAAGAGCUCGUAGGCGGUUUGUUGCGUCGGCCGUGAAAACCUGCAGCUCAACUGCGAGCCUGCGGUCGAUACGGGCAGGCUAGAGUUCGGUAGGGGAGACUGGAAUUCCUGGUGUAGCGGUGAAAUGCGCAGAUAUCAGGAGGAACACCGAUGGCGAAGGCAGGUCUCUGGGCCGAUACUGACGCUGAGGAGCGAAAGCAUGGGGAGCGAACAGG
rnacentral:rRNA from 1 species